ensembl:processed_transcript A930012O16Rik RIKEN cDNA A930012O16 gene
AGAACGGAGUCGGCCUCACCGAGAACCAGAGUGGCCCUGAGCUCGCGGCGAGCGCGCCGGGAUGUCACCGGGUCAGGCGGGGCCACGGUAACCCGACCCGCCCGCCGACGCCCCUCCCGGCCACUUCCUCCUCCCCUCGUGCGCCUCCGCCUCCCCGGGGGGAUGAUCCGGCGACUCAGCCACCGCCUUCGCCGCGACACCGCGGCCCGGGCGACUCUGCCCAGCAGGGAAAUGCGGAAGUGCAGCCGGUGGGGAAGGGCGGCUGCAGACCCCGCACUCUGGGUCUCUCAGGGACGUGGGCUGGCCAUGUCCCGGGUUAUCGAUCCUGCCCUGAGCCCCGGCGGAGCACGACUCCAUACCCUGCCACUCCAUGCUAGCUGGAGGAAAGAAGAGAAGGCUGAGCUAGGCCGGGGAAGCCGCUGUGGUGUCGGGUUUCUGUCCCUCCCCACGCGGGCCACUCCGGCCAUCUGCCCUGUGGGGAGGACGUUUCCCCCGCCUGCUGCCUGCCGGGGUUGCCUUACCUGAUCACACGUCGCGCGCCCUUAGAUCCGGCGUCCCCUCCUCCGCGCCUCCCAGUCGCCAGGCUUCCCUGGGCCUAGAAAGGCGUCUAGGAGUCGGGGGACUCUAGGGACUCGGCCUGCAGCUCUCGGCCCAGAUACUCCAGCGUGUUCUGUGGGCGCUCCAGGCCUGUGGACCCCGGGCCUGAAUGUUAGCACCGGGACCCGCUGAGAAGAACAAGCCAAAUCAGCAAGGGUGGGAUGCUGAGCGCUGGCCCAGCGGGCCCGGCCUCGUACAGAUCUCAAAUAUUUACUUAGAAGUUCAAUGCGUUUCUCUGCAAAGAAGUAGGUCGAAAUUAGGACCCCAUGCUGGCUUCCCACUAAUUCACCUAAAAGAUUGCAGUUCCUGGAAAUGAAACCAUUCCGCCAUUGACUUUCGCAUUCUGGUGCCUAUAAAAAAUGUUUAAAUGUUCAUUGGCUUUAAAUGGAUGCUUAAGUGAACAGUGUGUUUCCGGCCCAACUAGUCAAGUCUUUCUUCACUAAGUACUCCACCCAUGAAGGAUUCAGCUCUCAUCAGAAUCCCAUGAGCACCCAUCAGACCUCGGCAUAACUUAGACGACAGAGGAGAAAAAUCGGAAGCACUGGGCAGCAUUGCACUUGACAAAUAUGGGCCUCAAAACAAACAAAAAAGAUCAGAACAGGAAGCAUCCAAUAGGAUUCAUGAAGAGCCCUAAAGGAAAAAGAUGGGACAAUGUGGGAAAAGGGUAAAGAGCCGGGAAGCAGCCCCAAACAAUCCAUGUUUUCUUUUGAGUCCUCUCUGUCAAAACCACUGCAUUUUGGCAUUGUUCCUGUGUGUAUCACAUUUCAUCCCCACCACUGCUGAAUAAAAGGAGCAAAAUUAGAGAGGAAAAUGCUCUACGGCAGAUAUACUCAUGAAUUAAAACUACUGCUUGCUUCUAACUGCUCAGAUCACAACUAACUUAGAACAUGUUUGUUUGUUUGUUUGUUUGUUUGUUUGUUUGUUUUAAAAAAUAAAAUAAAACAGCGCAUCUUUAAUCCC